rnacentral:rRNA from 1 species
GACGAACGCUGGCGGCGUGCUUAACACAUGCAAGUCGAGCGAGUGGAGUUCUUCGGAACAAAGCUAGCGGCGGACGGGUGAGUAACACGUGGGCAACCUGCCUCAUAGAGGGGAAUAGCCUCCCGAAAGGGAGAUUAAUACCGCAUAAGAUUGUAGCUUCGCAUGAAGUAGCAAUUAAAGGAGCAAUCCGCUAUGAGAUGGGCCCGCGGCGCAUUAGCUAGUUGGUGAGGUAACGGCUCACCAAGGCGACGAUGCGUAGCCGACCUGAGAGGGUGAUCGGCCACAUUGGGACUGAGACACGGCCCAGACUCCUACGGGAGGCAGCAGUGGGGAAUAUUGCACAAUGGGGGAAACCCUGAUGCAGCAACGCCGCGUGAGUGAUGACGGCCUUCGGGUUGUAAAGCUCUGUCUUCAGGGACGAUAAUGACGGUACCUGAGGAGGAAGCUACGGCUAACUACGUGCCAGCCGCCGCUGUAACAC